rnacentral:rRNA from 1 species
AUGACAGUACCUGGUAAAGAAACCCCGGCUAACUCCGUGCCAGCAGCCGCGGUAAUACGGAGGGGGUUAGCGUUGUUCGGAAUUACUGGGCGUAAAGCGCGCGUAGGCGGAUUGGAAAGUUGGGGGUGAAAUCCCGGGGCUCAACCCCGGAACUGCCUUCAAAACUCCCAGUCUUGAGUUCGAGAGAGGUGAGUGGAAUUCCGAGUGUAGAGGUGAAAUUCGUAGAUAUUCGGAGGAACACCAGUGGCGAAGGCGGCUCACUGGCUCGAUACUGACGCUGAGGUGCGAAAGUGUGGGGAGCAAACAGGAUUAGAUACCCUGGUAGUCCACACCGUAAACGAUGAAUGCCAGUCGUCGGGUAGCAUGCUAUUCGGUGACACACCUAACGGAUUAAGCAUUCCGCCUGGGGAGUACGGUCGCAAGAUUAAAACUCAAAGGAAUUGACGGAA